AUUGAACGCUGGCGGCAGGCCUAACACAUGCAAGUCGAGCGGAUGAAGGGAGCUUGCUCCUGGAUUCAGCGGCGGACGGGUGAGUAAUGCCUAGGAAUCUGCCUGGUAGUGGGGGAUAACGUCCGGAAACGGGCGCUAAUACCGCAUACGUCCCGAGGGAGAAAGUGGGGGAUCUUCGGACCUCACGCUAUCAGAUGAGCCUAGGUCGGAUUAGCUAGUUGGUGGGGUAAAGGCCUACCAAGGCGACGAUCCGUAACUGGUCUGAGAGGAUGAUCAGUCGCACUGGAACUGAGACACGGUCCAGACUCCUACGGGAGGCAGCAGUGGGGAAUAUUGGACAAUGGGCGAAAGCCUGAUCCAGCCAUGCCGCGUGUGUGAAGAAGGUCUUCGGAUUGUAAAGCACUUUAAGUUGGGAGGAAGGGCAGUAAGUUAAUACCUUGCUGUUUUGACGUUACCAACAGAAUAAGCACCGGCUAACUUCGUG
rnacentral:rRNA from 1 species